rnacentral:rRNA from 1 species
UACGAGGGGGGCAAAUGUUGUUUGGAAUCACUGGGCGUAAAGGGAGCGUAGGCGGGCUUUUAAGUUAGGUGUUUAAUCUUGGGGCUCAACCCCGGACAGGCACCUAAAACUGGGAGUCUUGAAUAGUGGAGAGGACGGCGGAAUUGGGGGUGUAGCGGUGGAAUGCGUAGAGAUCCCCAAGAACACCAGUUGUGAAGGCGGCCGUCUGGACACAUAUUGACGCUGAGGCUCGAAAGCAUGGGGAGCAAACAGG